rnacentral:rRNA from 1 species
AUUGAACGCUGGCGGUAUGCUUAACACAUGCAAGUCGAACGAUGAGAAAGAGCUUGCUCUUUCGAUUAGUGGCGGACGGGUGCGUAACGCGUAGGAAUCUACCUAUUAGUGGGGGACAACUUAGGGAAACGUAAGCUAAUACCGCAUACGCCCUACGGGGGAAAGAAGGGGAUCGCAAGACCUUUUGCUAAUAGAUGAGCCUGCGUAGGAUUAGCUAGUUGGUGGGGUAAAAGCUCACCAAGGCGACGAUCCUUAACUGGUUUGAGAGAAUGAUCAGUCACACUGGAACUGAGACACGGUCCAGACUCCUACGGGAGGCAGCAGUGGGGAAUAUUGGACAAUGGGCGAAAGCCUGAUCCAGCAAUACCGCGUGUGUGAAGAGGGCCUUAGGGUUGUAAAGCACUUUCAAUUGGAAGGAAAACCUCGAAGCUAAUACCUUCGAGUUUGACAUUACCUUUAGAAGAAGCACCGGCUAACUCCGUGCCAGCCGCCGCCGUAACAC